rnacentral:rRNA from 1 species
ACGGGAGGCAGCAGUGGGGGAUAUUGCACAAUGGAGGAAACUCUGAUGUAGCAACGCCGCGUGAGGGAAGAAGGUUUUCGGAUUGUAAACCUCUGUUUUUAAUGAAGAAACAAAUGACGGUAGCUAAAGAGGAAGCCACGGCUAACUACGUGCCAGCAGCCGCGGUAAUACGUAGGUGGCAAGCGUUGUCCGGAUUUACUGGGUGUAAAGGGUGCGCAGGCGGGACUGCAAGUUGGAUGUGAAAUACCGAGGCUUAACCUCGGGGCUGCAUCCAAAACUGUAGUUCUUGAGUGGAGUAGAGGUGAGCGGAAUUCCGAGUGUAGCGGUGAAAUGCGUAGAUAUUCGGAGGAACACCAGUGGCGAAGGCGGCUUACUGGGCUCUAACUGACGCUGAGGCACGAAAGCAUGGGUAGCAAACAGGAUUAGAUACCCUGGUA